rnacentral:rRNA from 1 species
UACGGAGGAUGCAAGCGUUAUCCGGAAUGAUUGGGCGUAAAGCGUCCGCAGGUGGCUGUGUAAGUCUGCUGUCAAAGAGCGAAGCUCAACUUCGUAAAGGCAGUGGAAACUACACGGCUAGAGUGCGUUCGGGGCAGAGGGAAUUCCUGGUGUAGCGGUGAAAUGCGCAGAUAUCAGGAGGAACACCGGUGGCGAAGGCGGUUCUCUGGGCCGAUACUGACGCUGAGGAGCGAAAGCGUGGGGAGCGAACAGG